rnacentral:rRNA from 1 species
UACCAACCUUUGACAUGUCCCGUAUGAGCAACAGAGAUGUAGCUCUUCAGUUCGGCUGGCGGGAACACAGGUGCUGCAUGGCUGUCGUCAGCUCGUGUCGUGAGAUGUUGGGUUAAGUCCCGCAACGAGCGCAACCCUCGCCCUUAGUUGCCAUCAUUCAGUUGGGCACUCUAAGGGGACUGCCGGUGAUAAGCCGCGAGGAAGGUGGGGAUGACGUCAAGUCCUCAUGGCCCUUACAGGUUGGGCUACACACGUGCUACAAUGGCGGUGACAAUGGGAUGCAAUGGAGCGAUCCUGCGCAAAUCUCAAAAAGCCGUCUCAGUUCGGAUUGCACUCUGCAACUCGAGUGCAUGAAGUUGGAAUCGCUAGUAAUCGCAGAUCAGCACGCUGCGGUGAAUACGUUCCCGGGCCUUGUACUCACCGCCCGU